ACAUCUCGCCUCUUGGACAAUGCGCGCGGGCGCCUGGUGAACACGACGAAGAACGGACCUUUAUCCAACUGACUGGUCGCAAUGAAUAUGACUGCUGCUGAUUCAGUUUGGCUGCUGAUUGGAUUGCUGGCAAGUUUUUGUGCGGAGAGCAUGGAACAUGGUGGAUGGACCGACGUCCAGGAACCAGAUGGGCCAGAACUCCGCGCUCUAGCGGAAUAUGCCUACCGCCAGGAGUGCUGGUGUCCUUACCGCUUGAAAGUACGCGUUAUCUCUGCCAGAAAGCAGGUCGUUGCGGGAACAAGGUAUUUGUUGUCAUUCAGUGUCAAGAGAUGGCGCAAGAAAAUGGAGAAGUGUACUACCCUCAUUUGGGUACCUCCAGUGACAAAGCUACAAAAAAGAAAAGUAUCCAAGUUCAAAUGCGAUUGAAAGUCGCGGAAGAUGCCCUGGAAAACCUUAAAACAUGAUUUUAAAGUCUUGGACAAUUCUGGCCUUGGGAUAAAAUACGAAUAGUGCAUAUCUUCAAUAUAGGGAUGCCCUAUAAAUUAUUUGUCUUUAACUUGUAAUACACAUGAAACUAAACCAGU
rnacentral:misc_RNA from 1 species